rnacentral:rRNA from 1 species
CAAUGGGGGAAACCCUGNAUGCAGCGACGCCGCGUGGAGGAAGAAGGUUUUCCCNAUUGUAAACUCCUGNUCGUUAGGGACGAUAAUGACGGUACCUAACAAGAAAGCACCGGCUAACUACGUGCCAGCAGCCGCGGUAAAACGUAGGGUGCAAGCGUUGUCCGGAAUUACUGGGUGUAAAGGGAGCGCAGGCGGGAAGGCAAGUUGGAAGUGAAAACCAUGGGCUCAACCCAUGAAUUGCUUUCAAAACUGUUUUUCUUGAGUAGUGCAGAGGUAGAUGGAAUUCCCGGUGUAGCGGUGGAAUGCGUAGAUAUCGGGAGGAACACCAGUGGCGAAGGCGGUCUACUGGGCACCAACUGACGCUGAGGCUCGAAAGCAUGGGUAGCAAACAGGAUUAGAUACCCUGGUAGUCCAAGGGCGAAUUC